rnacentral:lncRNA from 1 species
AGGAUUGUGCCGUGAGCCCGCCCGUGUCACAUUAAUUUUACAUAUGUACUGUAUGUGGUUCAUUUUGCAGGAGCCUCAGCUGUCUUCAGCUCGGGUGUUUGACCUCACCCGUGAGCCAUUCUGCAUGUAGAACCCGUGGCCGUCGACGCAGCCUACUGCAAUCGACGAAUUGCUACCUAAGCAUCGACCCUGUCGAAAUAAUCAUAUCGAUCACCGGGUUAAUCAACUAAAUACGAUGCUUUCUCUACUACUUAGUGUGACGAAUCACCUGCCAGGCUGCAUAUGCGCCAUCAACAAUGGAUCGGUACUAUCUCGUAGGCUCUCGAGGACCUGUUUCUCCAUGCCUACUGUACUGUAACAAGCUGUAA